UCGCAGUAUUGUCUCCUGAAUACCUACGACCCCAACUUCCUCUAGCGCCGCCGCCGCCUCGCCCCUCUUCUGCGACCAGCACGCCGUCGUGAAGAAUGCCUCUCCUCCCCCUUCCCAAGCCGCCCUGGAUCUCGCGAUGGAGGUGGCCGCCGCCUGCCAUGGAAGCCUCGCCAACGGCCUCUAGAGUCCCACAUCCCCGAGAUCGACGCGAUUGCAGCCGCCUGGCCGAGGUCGUCGGCCCUCGACGGGCUCCUCCAUCACUUCUGGUUCCCCACAAUGGCUACGGGCCGUCUCCCCCUCUCCAUCCUGCACUCCUCCUUCUCCACUUCAAGUUUCCGGUCGUGGCUGAAGGUCGCUUCUCCCUAUCCACCCUUCCAAUCUGGAGCACAGGUGGAGAGCGUGGUUCUGUGCGGCGGAGAUGGCGCCCCGCAUCUGCGCGCCCAUAAGCCUGAACGGAGCUCCACCGAGGCCAUGGCCUCUCCAGGUGAUACCAUGUUACGCGAAUGCACAGGCAUAUGCAUUGAAAGCUCAUGUCCUGAUGCUACGUGUUUUUUGACAUCGACAAAUUUGAUUCUGUAUACUUGGCCUAGAGAUAAGAUCACUGAAAGUUUCACGAUAAAAAGUACACCUUCCCGAUCAUCAGGCUGUCACUGGGUGGAUAGAGAAUCCUCAGUUAUAUGUUGAUUAUUUCAUUGUCAAAAUCAAGAACGUUGCUGUUACUAAUGUCGCCCAUCUAAGUCACUAAGUCUUGAUCGUAAAAUGCAGUUUGAGCCUUAUAGGAAGGUAGCAGCUGUAUGAUGCUAUUUUGAUUCAGGAGAAUUAAAGACCACAAGCGGAGUAGAUCUUGCCUCGUAAGCGGAGAGGUGAGUACGGGAGGCGGGACGGCCGACAGCGGCAUUCUGUUCGGGGAAGCGUGGACUAGUGAUGCUGGAGCAUAGGAACGGGAAACAUCACCUUCGCCACAGAAUUUUCAAGUAGCCAAUUUACCUUUCUGCCUAAAGAUUUCUUCUCUGCUGUCAGUAUCACUGGUCUUGGGGUUUAUAUUUUGUCAAUAUCAAAAUCUGGGUACUUACCAGCAAACGAAUUGUUGAUCUAUUUACUUGGUCAAGUUCAUUUCUGCUA